GGGUCAUUAGGUUGGUCGUGCCACCGGUACGUACUGGUCUCACUGAUUCCUCCUUCCUGAAGAACCGUAAUGCCAUUAAUUUGGUGUUGCGGGGAAACAGGACUGUUACUUUGAAAAAAUUAGAGUGUUUAAAGCAAGCUAACGCUUGAAUACAUUAGCAUGGAAUAAUGAAAUAGGACGAUCGAUCCUAUUUUGUUGGUCUCUAGGAUUGACGUA
rnacentral:rRNA from 1 species